rnacentral:lncRNA from 1 species
GUACAGCCCUGGCAGACUUGCUGUCAUUCUGCAGUCAUUUAAAGGGAAUUUUUCCUAACUUUUUUUUUAAGCAAAAUUACAUUUGAAUGUUUCACAAAUAGCCAGUGGGAUAAGGUCAGAGACACCUGGCACACUGCUUUUGAUGCUCUGAAAAUACUGAAGACUGUUUGUGGUUUUUAACCAGUGAACUUUUUUUUUUUUUUAACAUGCAGUGAAUUUGUUAGGCUUUGAACACCAGCUGAGGUAGUCACACUUGGCCCCCAUUGAAAUCAAAGGGACUAGGGGAGGGGUGGCGUCUAGGAGAGACUCAGACCCAUUUCCCUGCCAGUUCCCAUGCGUGUAUUUAACUUUAGUUUUCUUUUUUCCUUUUUUUUCUUUUUUUGUUUUUUUUUUUCUUUUGUUUUGUUUUUUCAAGACAGGGUUUCUCUGUGUAGCCCUGGCUGUCCUGGAACUCACUCUGUAGACCAGGCUGGCCUCGAACUCAGAGAUCUGUGUGCCCCUGCUUCCCAAGUGCUGGGAUUAAAUGUGUGCGCCACCACUGCCUGGCUUUUUAAAUUUUUUUUUUUAAUACUUUAGUUUUCAUCAGUGUGCCAAUAACUUUAUGAAAGAUGGUCUUUAAACCUAGUCUGAGUUAAAUACCAACACUUUAAAAACGAUUUUUGUCACACUAGACUUGGGCAGCCUUGUGAGACUAGUUGAGGUUCACUGUACCACAGCACACGGUGAGGCGUAAUUCUUUCUAUAAUCAGGCACCUUCCGCUGCUUCCGAGUAAGGUCGUUUUCCUGUGUAGAGCGUAACACUGCAGCAGAGGCCCCACCCUGCCAUAGGCAGCCCGGCCCGACAGCUGUCCACACAGCAUUCUGUGGUUGAAAAAUGGAUGUCUACCAGGAAAUCCAGGACAGGCCAUGUUUUCUCAGACCCCAACUUUGUGGGCACUCUGUUGCUUGUGUGAGAAACUUUCUGGCAUGUGGAUAAUUAUUUCAAACUACAGUUCAGGCACCGAUGCAACUGUUUCAUAGCGUGUGCAGAACACUCUUAGUUCCAACACGACACUUUGCUUCUGCACUCUGAAAACCUGCUAUCAGAAACCAUUUCUAUCCUUGGAGUGUGAGCUCUCAGUAGGAGGCUUCAUCACUGUGUUUGCAUAUCAGUCUUCUCCCCUCCACUCUGUUGCCAUGUUAUUCUGAGCAAGUCUUAUGCCAAAUGCCAUGUACAAUGUCUGUAUGGAAGAUUAAACUGCUCUCCUGUGUGGUAAGGCUGUUUAGUUGCCGACUUCAUAGUUGGGAUCUGAUAUUCCCACACCGAGUCCGCGAUGUAUCCGGAAAUCCAGGUUGGCGUCGUACAUUUCAUUCUGAUGUGAACUUUUCUCUGCUUUCCUUUGUUCUAAGACUCCAUUUUGCAAUAAACGUUUUGACAGU